CCAACAGCUCUGCUGUAAAUAUUACAACGGGGCUCACCGAUAACGGCGUUGCAGGGAACUACGGAGGAGCCACCUAAUUGCCCGAUUAGAAUGCGAAAGGAUGUUGGGGGUGUGUAUUCCUGGGGGAUGGGGCAAGAGCCUGACAGGAAGUGGAGGAGCAGACCCCCGGGGGGGUUCAGGGAUGCCGGUGCCACUUGAUUAAGACCCUCCAUGUAAUCAGGCCUGCGGUGUGAUCGCAAUACACACAACAGCUCCUACGGC